AUAUAGCUUAAACAAAGCCUCUCGCUUACACCGAGAAAAUGUCUGUGAAAAUCAGACUAUCUUGAACCAAUAACUAAGCCUAAUCUCAACUAAUGUAACACAACCACAAUAAACCCUAGAUAAAACAUUUUAAUAAUUUAGUAAAGGUGAUUGAAAGAUUUAUUAGCGCUUUACUAUAAGUACCGCAAGGGAAAAAUGAAAUAGCUUUGAAAUAGGCCUUAAGUAAAACAUAGCAGAGAUUAUCUCUCGUACCUUUUGCAUCAUGGUUUAGCUAGUCCUCUUCAAGCAAAAUGAAACAUCAGUUUGACACCCCGAAACUAAGUGAGCUACUUUUAAACAGCUCAAUGGAGCCAACCCGUCUCUGUUGCAAAAGAGUGGGAUGAUUUAUAAGUAGAGGCGAAAAACCUAUCGAACUUAGAGAUAGCUGGUUACUCAGGAAAAGAAUUUUAGUUCCACCUUAAGUUUUUACAUUACCCAUAAAAUCCCCAUAAACUUAAGAGCUAUUCAAAUAAGGCACAGCUUAUUUGAAAAAGGAUACAACCUAUAAGAAAGGGUAAAAAUUUCUUUAAAAGAACUAAGUGGGCCUGAAAGCAGCCACCUUUAAGAAAGCGUUAAAGCCCUUUUCUUUUUUUUAAUAAUACCUCUAAAUUUAUUAAACCCUUUACUACUACUGAGUGAUUCUAUAACCUAUAGAAGCCCUUAUACUAAAACUAGUAACAAGAAAUCGUAUUUCUCCAAAAUAUAAGUAUAAGCCAGAAUGGACCAACCACCGGCAAUUAACGUUGAUAAGACCACUGUAAUAACACAUCAAGAAAAUUCUACAGACAUAAACGUUAAUCUUACACAAGAAUAUUCCAGGAAAGAUAAAAGAAAGGAAG
rnacentral:misc_RNA from 1 species